rnacentral:rRNA from 1 species
UGCUCCGGAGUUAGCGGCGGACGGGUGAGUAACACGUAGGUAACCUGCCCCUUAGACUGGGAUAACUCCGGGAAACCGGAGCUAAUACGGGAUAAUAAAGAGAAUCGCCUGAUUUUCUUUUGAAAGACGGCGUCUAGCUGUCACUAAGGGAUGGACCUGCGGCGCAUUAGCUAGUUGGUAAGGUAACGGCUUACCAAGGCGACGAUGCGUAGCCGACCUGAGAGGGUGAUCGGCCACACUGGGACUGAGACACGGCCCAGACUCCUACGGGAGGCAGCAGUAGGGAAUCUUCCGCAAUGGACGAAAGUCUGACGGAGCAACGCCGCGUGAGUGAGGAAGGCCUUCGGGUCGUAAAGCUCUGUUGUGAGGGAAGAACAAGUGCCGGCGUAACUACCGGCACCUUGACGGUACCUCACCAGAAAGCCACGGCUAACUACGUGCCAGCAGCCGC